GACGAACGCUGGCGGCGUGCUUAACACAUGCAAGUCGAACGAUGAAGCCGGAGCUUGCUCCGGUGGAUUAGUGGCGAACGGGUGAGUAACACGUGAGCAAUCUGCCCUUGACUCUGGGAUAACUGCGGGAAACGUUAGCUAAUACCGGAUACGACAACUUGGGGCAGCCCAGGGUGUGGAACGAAUUUCGGUCAAGGAUGAGCUCGCGGCCUGUCAGCUAGUUGGUGAGGUAAUGGCUCAACAAGGCGACGACGGGUAGCCGGCUUGAGAGGGUGACCGGCCACACUGAAACUGAGACACGGGCCAGAAUCCUACGGGAGGCAGCAGUGGGGAAUAUUGCACAAUGGGCGAAAGCCUGAUGCAGCAACGCCGCGUGAGGGAUGAAGGCCUUCGGGUUGUAAACCUCUUUUAGCAGGGAAGAAGCGAAAGUGACGGUACCUGCAGAAAAAGCACCGGCUAACUACGUGCCAGCAGCCGCCGCAG
rnacentral:rRNA from 1 species